CCUCUGGGACUGGAACACAUUCCUCUCUGUCCGUGGCUGCAGAGAUCACCAUGGGUCAGCAGUCAACCUAGGUCUUCCACCAGCUCUUCCCAUGGCCUUUGUCCCGGUUUGCCUUGUGUUACAGUUUUGUGGGUAAUUACCCAAGGCACAGGGCACUGGCUCUGUCUUAUCCUUGUUUCCCUUAACACCACCUGGCUCAAUGCCCCGACCUGGAUCAGAGCUGGUGUGCAGUCAACAGUAG
rnacentral:lncRNA from 1 species